rnacentral:rRNA from 1 species
GAAUGCUCGCAAUCAGUUUGACCGGGGAACAUGUUUAUCUGACCCACGGGGGGGGAGUCGGCACGAUCUCAUCUUGCCCUCUCCCCCCGUUGCCGUGCGUGGCGCCGCUUCCGCUCGGCAAACACAAACCCCGGCGCCCUCGUGCGCCAAGGAAUCCGAAACUGUUCAGUGAGGCCCCGGGGGAGUUGGAGACAGCGUCCCGCGGGUGCCGUCACCACACACGAAAAAGAAUGACUCUCGGCAAUGGAUAUCUCGGCUCUUGCAUCGAUGAAGAACGUAGCGAAAUGCGAUACUUGGUGUGAAUUGCAGAAUCCCGUGAACCAUCGAGUCUUUGAACGCAAGUUGCGCCCGAAGCCAUUAGGCCGAGGGCAUGCCUGCCUGGGUGUCACACACUGUUACCCUCACGCAAAGGUCUAACUGACUGUUGGCCGGCGCGGGAUGUGUACGUUGACCUCCCGCGAGCUGUGCGCCUCGCGGUUGGUUGAAAUUCGAGUUCACGGUCGAGUGCGCCGUGAUAAAAUGGUGGAAGGGCAAAUGCUCGAGACCAAUCACGCGCGAUCCUGUCCGGUGUGACCCUUGGACCCCUGCGGCGUCUUCGGAUGC